rnacentral:lncRNA from 1 species
UUUCGGGCAAUGAAGAAACAGAUGUUCCGUCGUCUCCUCUCCAGCGACGCAGGCGUUGCAUCUUCUCUCUUCCCAGCUAAUUUGAAUUUGUCGUCUUCUUAAGUUGUCACAUGUAGCCAAACGAUUUCUAAGACAUCUCCACGCUGUCACCUUGGCUUUGUGCGAUGUUGGAGCCUCCCAAACCAUAGCCAUCGCAGCCGGU